ensembl:lincRNA Gm15767 predicted gene 15767
GACUGUUGAGUUCCUAGCCUCGUAAGAUCGCUCUGUCAUCCCCUUUCAAGGCUGAAGGACUAUCACGGAAAAGAGGGUGGAAAGAACAUAAGAGCUAGAGGAAGAAGCUGUAUUCUGAGUAUGCUGUGUCCACAUCAUCGAGUGGGGAGUGACUGGCUCCCACAGCACAGAAGGAAAGAAUGGAAAGUUCUGGGGCCAUCAGGAUCUCCCUUCUCUUCCAGAUCAGUUACCAGUUACCCUCAGGCAACAUACUUGUGCUAAAGGAAAGCCAUGAAGAAAAGCAGCCUUCCUUAGAGA